GUUGCUUCUUCUGGUGACUCUUCCUAUUGAAGUGGAAGAUGUUCAUGUUUCCGAAGCAUAGAUUGAUUUCCAGUAUUAAACAGCACAGUGCUUUCCUUUCUAGGUAUUUUCACUGUGUUACCUGUCUCCUGGUAUAUAU